rfam:Eutrema salsugineum unplaced genomic scaffold scaffold_14, whole genome shotgun sequence.
AACCCAUGGUGAGGGCACUCUCCUCGGUACUCCUUGUACCUUUUCCAAGCUUCGCAGAAAGCUUCACUAGGUUGUUGUCUGAACGAAGAGAUCUUAUUCCUCAGAGC